rnacentral:rRNA from 1 species
AUUGAACGCUGGCGGCAGGCCUAACACAUGCAAGUCGAACGGUAACAGGAAACAGCUUGCUGUUUCGCUGACGAGUGGCGGACGGGUGAGUAAUGUCUGGGAAACUGCCUGAUGGAGGGGGAUAACUACUGGAAACGGUAGCUAAUACCGCAUAACGUCGCAAGACCAAAGAGGGGGACCUUCAGGACUCUUGCCAUCGGAUGUGCCCAGAUGGGAUUAGCUAGUAGGUGGGGUAACGGCUCACCUAGGCGACGAUCCCUAGCUGGUCUGAGAGGAUGACCAGCCACACUGGAACUGAGACACGGUCCAGACUCCUACGGGAGGCAGCAGUGGGGAAUAUUGCACAAUGGGCGCAAGCCUGAUGCAGCCAUGCCGCGUGUAUGAAGAAGGCCUUCGGGUUGUAAAGUACUUUCAGCGGGGAGGAAGGGAGUAAAGUUAAUACCUUUGCUCAUUGACGUUACCCGCAGAAGAAGCACCGGCUAACUCCGUGCCAGCAGCCGCAGUAA